rnacentral:tRNA from 1 species
GAAUAUGAAGCGAUAAAUGGCAAUUAGUUUCGACCUAAUUUUAGGUAUAAUUACCCUUAUUCU